rnacentral:rRNA from 1 species
CCGGCACGGGUGAGUAACGCGUAUCCAACCUGCCGUCUACUCUUGGACAGCCUUCUGAAAGGAAGAUUAAUACAAGAUGGCAUCAUGAGUUCACAUGUUCACAUGAUUAAAGGUAUUCCGGUAGACGAUGGGGAUGCGUUCCAUUAGAUAGUAGGCGGGGUAACGGCCCACCUAGUCUUCGAUGGAUAGGGGUUCUGAGAGGAAGGUCCCCCACAUUGGAACUGAGACACGGUCCAA